UACGGAGGGUGCAAGCGUUAUCCGGAUUCACUGGGUUUAAAGGGUGCGUAGGUGGGAAUGUAAGUCAGUGGUGAAAUCUCCGUGCUUAACACGGAAACUGCCAUUGAUACUAUGUUUCUUGAAUUUUCCGGAGGUCAGCGGAAUAUGUCAUGUAGCGGUGAAAUGCUUAGAUAUGACAUAGAACACCAAUUGCGAAGGCAGCUGACUACAGGGAUAUUGACACUGAGGCACGAAAGCGUGGGGAUCAAACAGG
rnacentral:rRNA from 1 species